UGCAAGUCGAACGGUAACAGGUCUUCGGAUGCUGACGAGUGGCGAACGGGUGAGUAAUACAUCGGAACGUGCCUAGUAGUGGGGGAUAACUACUCGAAAGAGUGGCUAAUACCGCAUGAGAUCUACGGAUGAAAGCAGGGGAUCGCAAGACCUUGUGCUACUAGAGCGGCCGAUGGCAGAUUAGGUAGUUGGUGGGAUAAAAGCUUACCAAGCCGACGAUCUGUAGCUGGUCUGAGAGGACGAUCAGCCACACUGGGACUGAGACACGGCCCAGACUCCUACGGGAGGCAGCAGUGGGGAAUUUUGGACAAUGGGCGCAAGCCUGAUCCAGCAAUGCCGCGUGCAGGAUGAAGGCCUUCGGGUUGUAAACUGCUUUUGUACGGAACGAAAAGCCCUGGGUUAAUACCCUGGGGUCAUGACGGUACCGUAAGAAUAAGCACCGGCUAACUACGUGCCAGCAGCCGCGGUAAUACGUAGGGUGCGAGCGUUAAUCGGAAUUACUGGGCGUAAAGCGUGCGCAGGCGGUUUUGUAAGACAGAGGUGAAAUCCCCGGGCUCAACCUGGGAACUGCCUUUGUGACUGCAAGGCUAGAGUACGGCAGAGGGGGAUGGAAUUCCGCGUGUAGCAGUGAAAUGCGUAGAUAUGCGGAGGAACACCGAUGGCGAAGGCAAUCCCCUGGGCCUGUACUGACGCUCAUGCACGAAAGCGUGGGGAGCAAACAGGAUUAGAUA
rnacentral:rRNA from 1 species